rnacentral:rRNA from 1 species
UACGUAGGGGGCGAGCGUUGUCCGGAUUUAUUGGGCGUAAAGAGCGUGUAGGCGGCCAGGUAGGUCUGCUGUGAAAACUCGAGGCUCAACCUCGAGACGUCGGCGGAAACCAUCUGGCUAGAGUCCGGAAGAGGAGAGUGGAAUUCCUGGUGUAGCGGUGAAAUGCGCAGAUAUCAGGAGGAACACCGGUGGCGAAGGCGGCGACCUGGACCGGUACUGACGCUGAGACGCGAAAGCGUGGGGAGCAAACAGG